CCGAUAGGCGUAGGCGAUGGAUAACCGGUUGAUAUUCCGGUACCCGCUGUGAAGCGUCAAACAUCGAACCAGGCGAUGCUAAGUCCGUGAAGCCGCCCUUGAUCUCUUCGGAGUGAGGGGGAGUGGUGGAGCCGACGGACCAGACCUGUAGUAGGUGAGUGAUGGGGUGACGCAGGAAGGUAGUCCAUCCCGGGCGGUGGUUGUCCCGGGGUAAGGGUGUAGGCCGCAAGGUAGGUAAAUCCGCCUUGCAUACGGCUGAGACCUGAUGCCGAGCCGAUUGUGGUGAAGUGGAUGAUCCUAUGCUGUCGAGAAAAGCCUCUAGCGAGUUUCAUGGCGGCCCGUACCCCAAACCGACACUGG
rnacentral:rRNA from 1 species